rnacentral:tRNA from 1 species
GUGGGAAUAGCUCAGUGGUAGAGUGUGUGCUUAGCAUGCAUGGGUUCCUGGGUUCAAUUCCCAGUACCUCCA